rnacentral:misc_RNA from 1 species
GAUGAAGAACGCAGCGAAAUGCGAUACUUGGUGUGAAUUGCAGAAUCCCGUGAACCAUCGAGUCUUUGAACGCAAGUUGCGCCCGAAGCCAUUAGGCCGAGGGCACGCCUGCCUGGGCGUCACACGUCGUUGCCCCCCCAUCUACUCCUUCGGGAUUGCGGGGGGCGGAUGAUGGCCUCCCGUGCGCCUCGUCGCGCGGUUGGCAUAAAUGCCAAGUCCUCGGCGACGCACGCCACGACAAUCGGUGGUUGCGAAACCUCGGUUGCCCGUCGUGUGCGGUCAUCGCGCAUCGAGGGCUCGAAAAAAUUGCCGGGCUCCGGCUCGGCUUUCAACGCGACCCCAGGUCAGGCGGGGUUACCCGCUGAAUUUAAGCAUAUCAAUAAGCGGAGGA